CGGGAUUGAGGAUGUCGAUCGCGAUGUUGCGGUUGCGCUGCAGGGUCGGGAUCAGGUCCGACAGCGGCUGUUCGAGCCAGUCGAUCUCGCC
rnacentral:tRNA from 1 species